rfam:Trichobilharzia regenti genome assembly, scaffold: TRE_scaffold0005911
GUACUGCUGAAGAGUCCCAAACUAGGAUGAAACAGCUGUCCAAUAC